rnacentral:lncRNA from 1 species
AAAGGUAAAGCAAUAAAACCUGCUCCAAUCGGAGGGUUGAAUAAAGUGCGAAACGGAAAUGAAAAUGGAGGCAAGAUUAACUUCCUUUCAAAGUGCUCCAAACUCGAUUAUAGACUCGAUUAUACAAUUGUGGCAACACCCCAAUAUGAAGCGAUUACCACUUUUUACAAUACUGAAUAUAUGCCUAUUUGCAACUAAGUUUGCUCUAAGUUUGGAUGCUGAAACAAAUGAAAUCGAGUCUCUAUUUAUAGGCAAGGAAAAU